GACAGUUUUGCGAUACACGGUUUGGUCUGGAGUAUGAAAAUUAUGUGUGGAGAGGAAAGCCUCUUGUGUUUGUGUUCAUGUAAAUGACCUCAAUACUAUAGACCUUUACAGAAAGAGAUAGCCUAAUGAUGGGAAGCCAAGAUAACUCUAUUCCUCUAUGUACCAGAGCUCUUGUAAAGCCAAUGGAUACCCCUUGAGGCUGUUGUUGACCACCAGGAACUGAAACGAGGGAAAGUAUAACCAUGGAUAAGAGAGGAUUACUGCAUAUCUAUACUGUGGGAUUCUACUCAGCAGUAAAAAGAAAUGAGCUAUUGACAUACAUAACAAUGUGGAUGGACCUCUGAGGCUCUACGUUGAAUGAAAAAAAAAAGGUCCAUACCCAGGCUUUGAAGUCCGAGGCAUCAAAUGACACAACUCUGUAUGGCUCCUCAAUUGCAGCCACAGGAAAGAUUCUGGACUGGGACCAUCUAGCUGAGUGACUCCUCCAUUCUUACCUCCAUGAAGAUGUGAUGUCUCCCUCCUCCUCAUGGCUUGUGACUUUGGCCUGCUGCCUGGUGCCACUCUUCCUGGAUUGCACUCCCCAGGUGACAGUGCAAGCACUAGAGGAAGAUUCCACAAGCUCACUGACAAGUCAUAAAAGAACAUUUCUCAAACUGAAAUCCAGGCAUAUAUCCUCAGGAACUGUGAAUUUAAGAGAAAUCUUAAAAUUCUUGUGUUUUCAUUUUUGUGGCAACCUGACAAAAGUGUUAAUGGAAUCAUCUGGAUAACCCCUAUAUGGACCUGGCCAUUGGGUUCAGUGCCGUUUGAGGCUAUUGUUGGGCACUCAAAAGGAAAUCAGAUGGAGCCUCGAGAAGGCCACAGUAAUCAGUUCAAUGUGAAAUUAUUACAAUAGAGGUACAGUGCUCUGGAGUGCAGCUUAUCAAGGAGGGAGCAAGCAGAUAAGUUGUACAGCAAGAAGAUGGAGUAGUCACCAGGUUGUUUUGUCAACUGUAAUUGGAUCCCGUACUCUACCCACAAUAAUGGUGUUCCUGGGAAGAAGUCAUGAGCUUUGGGCAUAUGUAACCCUCUUAUGCAUUACUAGUAGUGAGUUGAACAAAAUCCUUCCAGAUUUGCUAAGCUGAGGUCCCAGGCCUCACAGGUUUGUCAAUGACACCAAGGCAAGUCUUGAUUAAGGUUGAUAAUGGUAACUUACAGUUAAUACUGAUGAAAUUAUUACUUUUCAAGCUUUGAUUACAUUAUUUUUUGAGUAGGCCACACUUUAAGAAGAUAUAAAAUAUUGUUCAGUGAAAACUCUUUUCUCCAUCUGUUUCCCUAAACAUGUGUUUCCUUUUCUUGGAGGCAACCAAUACUACAAUUUCUUGAGUCUCUUCCAGAAAUAGUGUAUGCACAGACAAGCACUCACAUAUGCAAUCUUAAAGAAAAUUUGAUUAGUGUCAGAUUUUUAUAUCAAGGAUAACAUUAACAAUGAAUUUUCUUCUCUUCAGGGAGAAAUAGUUAUUAGUUUUUCAAAUUGCAAAAUAAUGCAUAUUCAUUACAGAAAACCUAGAAAAUACAAAAAACAGAAGACAAAAUGAAUAUUCCCUUUAUCUCAGCAUUUGGAGAUGAUUUUUAUUAUUAUUAUUAUUAUUUGGUAUGAGGAAUUGAACUCAGGACCUGUGCUUGCCAGACAGGUGUAGUGCCACUGAGCUAAAUCCCUGGCCCUUUGGAGAUAACUUUUAGUUAUCUAUAAUUAUUUAUAUUGCCUUCUAGUUUUUUCACAUGACAUGUACAAUAUACUUCAUUGACAUUUUUUCUUUUCCCUCACUAUAUUGUUUCUACCUUUGCAAGUCAUUAAAUGUGUUUUCUAGACAUCAUGGCCUGUUCCUGUAUAGCAUAAUUUAUUUAACCAUGAUCUCUUGUUUGAAAUUCAGGUUGACUACAGUUUUGGACCAUUAUAAGCUUUCAUUUGAUGUAUAUUUAGCUUUUAUUUAUUGAUGGCUUUAUAAAUUAAGUGCAAAUUGUCUAGGGAGAAGGCUGUCUUUGUCUUGAUGACAUAUAUCCCUCGAGUACAGUGCCUAGCUAAAUGGAUUUAAUGGUUUUAAGACCAUAUCUGCAAUAAAAAUGAAAGGUUUAAGUAAAAUUAACCAGAAGGUUUUGAGUUUCUGGUGUAAGUUGACUUUUGGAAGAUAGGAUAGUAUUCUUUCACUUAGAGCUACAAAUUCUGUUUGUUCUCUUUUAUAGAAGGAAGAAUUGUGAGUUGGGAUCUUAAAUAGAAGAACAAAGUUAAAAAAUGGGCCUCAAUUUUUAUAAACCUAACCCUCUGCAAUUCCCCUUGUUUUGAGACAAAGGAGAACAUUUUACACCACUGGAAUAAACAAACUGUAGGGAUACCUACACCAGCUGAAAAACAACAGAUAAAACACUCUCUGCACAAGUAAUUGUAAGACCACACCUUUAACACAUUACCAAUAGCUGCUUUCUCAAAACAUUUCCUUGUUCCUUGGGGGAAGUCACUUUUAAAUGAUAGUUAUAGUGCUGGUGAGGUAGCUCAGUGGUAGAGAACUCAAGGCCUUUGGUUCAGUCCCCAGGACCAUCAAAUAAAAAAGGUGAUAGUCCAUAGACAAUUGGGCUCUUGUUUUUUGUUAUUGUAAACUAGGCAACACAAUUUUUGGUACUUGUUCAGUCUGUAAAGAAAUCCUUCCCAUCCCUAACUGUGAGUCUCCACAGUGGAAAGAAAGAAAGGUGCCUCCAGGACAAAGAACAGAUAAAUGAGAAGGAGGACAGAGGACAUUCCAUUCCUAACUCAGCCAAAGGUUGACAUUUCACAAAGAAUAUGUGGACAUCCAUGUUGUGUUGACAAAGCCCCAUGCCUGGGUACCGAGGUGUCCACAAGGAUGAGGGGACACGGAGCGCCCAGUUGUUGUAGCCACAGUAGCAGGGACGAUUGAACACUUGGGCACCUGAUCUUGUUCUUCCUUUCAAAGGAACUUGCACGGUCAUUCAGGCUGGGUUAGAGUUGUGCAGGUGGAAAGAAAUCUGCUGCACACACCUUGGACUUGGAAUACAUUUUCAGAGAGAAGAGAAAUAGUCCCAGGUCCCCUCAUCACUGGAAAACAGACUUUUGACUAACAUGGCAGAAGGAAGAUCUUUCUUGGGUUUGGCCUUGCCUGAAGGUAUAAAAAACACUUCUACUUGUUAAUUUUUUCAUGAUUAUUUUUUAGACACUAAUGGAGAAAGUUCUACUAUUCUCAAAAUGAUAUUUUUACGUUUAAAGCGACUCACAUUUUCCCUCCAAUGCAUCUAACCUCAAUGGACCCAACAUCAGAAAGAAAUUAUAGUUUUGCUUUUGGCAGAAUCAGAUAUAAUCAACAAAAGUUCAUAAAGUCAAGUAAACUUUGAAACAUAUGCCACUGUUCUUUUUAAAAAAAACUUUUGUUUUUAAUUAAUUGUAGACUCACAGGAAGUCAUAAAAAUAAUAUAGAGAGUUCCCUAUAGCUUUUCCUCAGCUUCCAAGCUAACACCUUAUCUAACUGCAGUAUACCAUCAAAACCAUGGAAUUGGCACCAACAUUGCUGCUGUUGCCACAAUUCUAUUUGGACAGCUGAAAGUAUAGAAACUGAAAAUUGAAAACCCUAAAGCCUAAGGAAAAAAAAAGACAUUUCAUCUCCUUCUAAGAUCGACCACUAUCAGGUUCAAGUUCAUGUUGGAUGCUCAUUUUUCAGGUUGCUACACUUGGAAAAGAUAAUCAGUUCUUGUUUUGUUUUUUAAACAUUGAACCUUUAAUUACCCUGAUUUCUCUGUGAAAGAAAAUCUAUUAUAGCUGAAACUCUCUGAUUCAAAGAUUGGAGCUAAUUGUUAACUGGUUCAUUGAAAAUAUAGGAAUGAUUGAGAAAAUAAGAUAGAUUUUAUAUACUGUAUCUAACUUGGCUCGUGUAUAUGUUCAUUCUCUGAUCUUUUGUACAGGGUUGCAGGAAAAAAUUUAGUACUUCGAUGAAAAACUAUGCAGCAUCAACUGUGUACCUUAUCAGAUAGAUUCUAUUGGGGUAAUUUUACAAAUCUGUGCAUUUUAGGUAACUGAUAGACAUGCAAAUUAUUCUGCCUACUUGAGACUGGUUUUCCUCUCCACUGUGGAAAAGCCCAUCGGUAUCUAAUCAAUUUAACAUUGUUCCUUAAAAAUUCAUUCUUCUUGGACUUCUCCUUUGAAGGGUUAUAAUAUUUGCCUGGCUCCUUCAUUUGAUGUAUUUAAUAAAAUUCUUUACAUGUGUUCACUUUUAUAUUUGAAUGAAAGUCAUGAUUUUACCUUUUUAUAAAGCUUAUCUUUCAUCAGGGUUUUUUUCUUUGAACAGUUAUUUACUGGUCAGUUUUUCCUCUUUCAGAAAUUACACUCAGACAACAAUGGUGUCCAGUUUAAUUCUCUGUAAGGUGGAAGCAGACCUUAUGGAUAGGUGCAAGAUAACCUGGGAUCUGAACACUUGUAGAUUU
rnacentral:lncRNA from 1 species